CAUUAAGUAACUAAAAAAGUAUUAGGCCUCUUAAUCCAUAAAAUAGUAUAUUUAAUUUACUCUUAAUGA
rnacentral:tRNA from 2 species